rnacentral:pre_miRNA from 1 species
CGAUUACAAGUAAUUUGAUUACUUGUAAUGCGUACGGUACAAGUUUGCAUGUAUCACUAUUGUGCACAAUAGUGAUACAUGCAAACUUGUACCGUACGCAUUACAAGUAAUCAAAUUACUUGUAAUC